UGAUCAGAAGGGUUUCCUUCCGGUCAACGAGGUACAUGUACCUCAUCAACCGGAAGGAAACCCCUCCGAUUGAUGAGGUACAUCUACCUCAUCAACCGGAAGGAAACCCUUCCGGUCA
rnacentral:miRNA from 1 species